UAAAACGACGGCCAGUACCCGCUGAAUUUAAGCAUUUCAGUAAGCGGAGGAAAAGAAACCAACGGGGACUCCCCCAGUAACGGCGAGUGAAGCGGGAUAAGCCCAGCGCUGAAACCCCCUGGGCCCAUGUCCGCGGGGAGCUGUAGCGUUCGGGUCGGUGUCGAGCGGGAACGGGGGCGUCGCGCGAGUCUUCUCGAGCGUGGCUUGCCCAGAGCGGGUGCCAGGCCCUUGCCGGCGAUGCUCCCUCCCGCCGACCUAGACUCUGGAGUCGGGUUGCUUGGCAGUGCAGCCCAAAGAGGGUGGUAAACUCCACCUAAGGCUAAGUACCUGCGCGAGUCCGAUAGCGAACAAGUACUGUGAGGGAAAGUUGAAAAGAACUUUGAAGAGAGAGUUCAGUCAUAGCUGUUUCCUGA
rnacentral:rRNA from 1 species